rnacentral:rRNA from 1 species
GCCCAUGACCAUGCCACCCUGAAUGUGCCUGAUCUUGUUUGAUCUCAGAAACUAAGCAAGGCCAGGCCUGUUAGUACUUACAUGG